rnacentral:rRNA from 1 species
AUUGAACGCUGGCGGAAUGCUUUACACAUGCAAGUCGAACGGUAGAGGGGGCAACCCCUCGAGAGUGGCGAACGGGUGAGUAAUAUAUCGGAACGUGCCCAGUCGUGGGGGAUAACGUAGCGAAAGUUACGCUAAUACCGCAUACGAUCUAAGGAUGAAAGCGGGGGAUCGCAAGACCUCGCGCGAUUGGAGUGGCCGAUAUCAGAUUAGGUAGUUGGUGGGGUAAAGGCUCACCAAGCCAACGAUCUGUAGCUGGUCUGAGAGGACGACCAGCCACACUGGGACUGAGAAACGGUCCAGACUCCAACGGGAGGCAGAAGUGGGGAAUUUUGGACAAUGGACGCAAGUCUGAUCCAGCCAUUCCGCGUGCAGGAUGAAGGCCCUCGGGUUGUAAACUGCUUUUGUACGGAACGAAAAGGUCUCUCUUAAUACGGGGGACUCAUGACGGUACCGUAAGAAUAAGCACCGGCUAACUACGUGCCAGCCGCCGCCGUAA